AAGCGUCAGUAUUGUGACAACAGUCGAACAAGAUGAAAGGUUUUGUGCUAUUCCUGGUUGUCGUGCUUCUUGCAUGCACAUACGCCGCCCCACAGGCACCAGCUACUAAUUACGGUGCUGUGUCAGCACAGUCCGGCAGCUCGGCUUCUGGAGUCAUUUCAGGCUCAACCUUUGGAAAUGACGCGUUUAAUGCUGGUACUAGAAGACCGUGUCCUUUUUUCCAAGCACUGUUCGUGGGUUGCUGAUGUACUAUAAGGAUUCUGUGAGAAAUGGCGAAAACUGGUGAAACUAAAAACCGUAUUUUAAGUGAUAACUUGUUAUUAGCACAUAUUUAUAAAACAACAAUGUAAUCUAGGAAAAUGUUUAUAAUGUAAACAAAAAAUGAAAAUAAACGAUUACAUAUAUCAGUA